CCUGCAGUUGAUAAUUUCUGUACAUGUAGCUAUCAUAUUAUGUGUCAGCAAUAAUCAAGUCAGUUAUUUGUUUACACGUACAGAAACUAUUAACUGUAGGUACAAAAUGUAUUAACUGAAUGUACGGAAUUUUUGUAUCAGGUUCACAAUGCAUUAUAAAUCCUGGUCAAUGGUAUAACAAUUG